AGAGUUUGAUCAUGGCUCAGGAUGAACGCUGGCGGCAUGCCUAAGACAUGCAAGUCGAACGAGAUGGCCCAGUGGAAGUUGCGUGCUUGCACAAGACUGGAUCUGGAUCACCAUCUAGUGGCAGACGGGUGAGUAACACGUGGGUGACCUACCUUUUCGUUGGGGAUAACAGUUGGAAACGAUUGCUAAUACCGAAUAAAAUAUAAGAGUCGAUUUUAUAUUGAAAGGAGCCUUUAAAGCUUCGCGAUUAGAUGGGCCUGGCGGCGUAUUAACUAGUUGGUGGGGUAAUGGCCUACCAAGGUAACGAUGCCGUAGCCGAACUGAGAGGUUGAUCGGCCACACUGGGACUGAGACACGGCCCAGACUCCUACGGGAGGCA
rnacentral:rRNA from 1 species